UAGGAUGUAGCUCAGUGGUAGAGUGCAUACUCUGCGUGUAUGCGGUCCUGCAUUCAAAUCCCAGCAUCUCCA